rnacentral:rRNA from 1 species
GGCAACCCUGACGGAGCAACGCCGCGUGGGGGAGGAAGGUCUGUGGAUUGUAAACCCCUUUUCUCUGUGAAGAAGAUCUGACGGUAGCAGAGGAAUCAGCAUCGGCUAACUCCGUGCCAGCAGCCGCGGUAAGACGGAGGAUGCAAGCGUUAUCCGGAAUUAUUGGGCGUAAAGCGUCCGUAGGCGGUUGAGCAAGUCUGCUGUUAAAUCGCGGAGCUUAACUCCGAACAUGCAGUGGAAACUGUUCAACUAGAGUGCGGUAGGGGUUGAGGGAAUUCCCAGUGUAGCGGUGAAAUGCGUAGAUAUUGGGAAGAACACCAGUGGCGAAGGCGCUCUGCUGGGCCAUAACUGACGCUGAGGGACGAAAGCUAGGGGAGCG